rnacentral:rRNA from 1 species
GAGUUUGAUCCUGGCUCAGAACGAACGCUGGCGGCGUGCUUAACACAUGCAAGUCGAACGCGAACGGGACUUCGGUUCCUAGUAGAGUGGCGCACGGGUGAGUAACGCGUAGAUAACCUAUCUUUAUGUCUGGAAUAACACGCCGAAAGGGGUACUAAUACCGGAUAUUCUUGCAUUUCACAGGUAAGGCAAGCAAAGGUGGCCUCUGAUUCAAGCUACUGCAUAGAGAGGGGUCUGCGUACCAUUAGCUAGUAGGUGGGGUAAUGGCCUACCUAGGCGACGAUGGUUAGCGGGUCUGAGAGGAUGAUCCGCCACACUGGCACUGGAAUACGGGCCAGACUCCUACGGGAGGCAGCAGUGAGGAAUAUUGCGCAAUGGGGGAAACCCUGACGCAGCGACGCCGCGUGAGUGAGGAAGGCCUUCGGGUCGUAAAGCUCUGUCAAGAGGGAAGAAGUGUACGCUGGUUAAUACCCGGCGUAUUUGACG